AUUGAACGCUGGCGGCAGGCCUAACACAUGCAAGUCGAGCGGAUGAGAGGAGCUUGCUCCUCGAUUCAGCGGCGGACGGGUGAGUAAUGCCUAGGAAUCUGCCCAGUAGUGGGGGACAACGUUUCGAAAGGAACGCUAAUACCGCAUACGUCCUACGGGAGAAAGUGGGGGAUCUUCGGACCUCACGCUAUUGGAUGAGCCUAGGUCGGAUUAGCUAGGUGGUAGGGUAAAGGCCUACCAAGGCGACGAUCCGUAACUGGUCUGAGAGGAUGAGCAGUAACACUGGAACGGAGACACGGACUAGACUCCGACGGGAGGCAGCAGUGGGGAAUAUUGGACAAGGGGCGCAAGCCUGGUCCAGCCAUGCCGCGUGUGUGAAGAAGGCCCUCGGGUCGUAAAGCACUUUAAGUUGGGAGGAAGGGCUUACAGCGAAUACCUGUGAGUUUUGACGUUACCGACAGAAUAAGCACCGGCUAACUUCGUGCCGGCAGCCGCCGUAA
rnacentral:rRNA from 1 species